CGUUAGUAACUGAACGUCCCCUGACGGUAUCUAACCAGAAAGCCCCGGCUAACUACGUGCCAGCAGCCGCGGUAAUACGUAGGUGGCAAGCGUUGUCCGGAUUUAUUGGGCGUAAAGCGAGCGCAGGCGGUUUCUUAAGUCUGAUGUGAAAGCCCCCGGCUCAACCGGGGAGGGUCAUUGGAAACUGGGAGACUUGAGUGCAGAAGAGGAGAGUGGAAUUCCAUGUGUAGCGGUGAAAUGCGUAGAUAUAUGGAGGAACACCAGUGGCGAAGGCGGCUCUCUGGUCUGUAACUGACGCUGAGGCUCGAAAGCGUGGGGAGCAAACAGGAUUAGAUACCCUGGUAGUCCACGCCGUAAACGAUGAGUGAUAAGUGUUGGAGGGUUUCCGCCCUUCAGGUCCGCAGCAACCGCAUUCAUCACUCCGCCUGGGGAGUACGACCGCUCGGUCGAAACUCAAAGGAAAUGACGGGGGCCCGCACAAGCGGUGGAGCAUGUGGUUUAAUUUGAAGCAACGCGAAGAACCCAACCAGGUCUUGUCAUCCUUUGCCCUCUCUAGAGAUAGAGCUUUCCCUUCGGGGACAAAGAAACAGGUGGUCCAUGGUUGUCGUCAGCUCGCGUCGUGAGAUGGUGGGUUAAAUCCCGCAACGAGCGCACCCCUUAUUGUUAGUUGCCAUCAUUUAGGUGGGCACUCUAGCGAGCCUCCCGGUGACAAACCGGAGGAAGGAGGGGAUGACGUCAAAUCAUCACGCCCCUUGGGGCCUGGGCUCCACACGUGAAACAAUGGGAAGUACGAGACGAGUCCGCUAGACCGCGAGGUCAUGCAAAUCUCUUAAAGCUUCUCUCAGUUCGGACCGCAGGCUGCAACUCGCCCCCAUGAAGCCGGAAUCGCUAGUAAUCGCGGAUCAGCACGACGCGGUGAAUACGUUCCCGGCCCUAGAACACACCGCCCGUAAAGGGGCGAAGAGUCCGAACACCCGAAGUCGCUGAGGUACCCCUUGGAGCCAGCCACCAUACCCGGGAUACAACAGGG
rnacentral:rRNA from 1 species